AGCUGCAUGAAAGUGUCUGAAGACUGCAAAAUAACCUACCAACCAUUAUUUGGCAAUCAAACAGAAUGGAAAUACAAUCUGCAGUCACGGCAAGCAGCCUAGCUAUUUGAGGUCUCUCCUUCACUUUUAUUCACUAUAUUUUGCAACUAAUAAACAUGUCACUCAAGGCAUCACAUUGCUGUGGCUUUUCAGGGGACUAUGGAAAUGUUGAACUUCAAACAAGCAUUCUUUGGUGGUGGAAGAGGAGUCAAGACAUAUCCUCUUUUGGAAUCAGCCAGGUCUAAAACAAUAUAGCCUUGUCUCCAGGAAGCACAUCCACCCAGAUCUGCCACAUUUAACUAAACCGGAGGCAUUAUGCAGGAUAGAAACCGACCUUUUGUGUUGGAAAACAUGAUAAACAGUAAUAAACAAGUUUCUGAAAACUGUGGGAAUUACAGAAAGUUUUGAAGGCAAAAGAUAAAAGUGCAGCUGUGCCAAAGGAAAUGAGAUUCCCAUUGCUCUACUAUUGCCCCAAGAAAACAUGAUGCGCAGGUGUAUAUUUAGAAGCAGGCGCGGAUGUCAGAUGGUGGGGUCCCUCAGGCUCCUCAGCGACCUGCAAGAUUAUUAAAGAAGAGGCAACAGCUGCUUCUUGUAAAACCACAAGUAAGAUAGGGGUGCAUAAAGCCCCAAAGAGCUGCAUGGAUCUCAAAGGGACAAAUCUAGAAAAAGGCAUCCAGUGCCUGAGGAAAUGGCUUAGUACCAUCAAGUGGGAGUGUUCCAAUAAUAUAUGAAACAGAAAGCUGUUGUUGAAAGGGCUGUGGUAUUCUGCAAGAUAACGGAUCUCUAACUUUCCAUUCAGGCUGGCAUUAAGGGUGGUUAAGGGGAAGCUGGUGCGCUACUCAGAGGAUGAUGAUACAGUUGAUGUUAGGUUACCCUGGGAGAUGGAACCUAUGGCUCACCAGAUGUUGCUAGGACUUCCAUCCUCCCUUACCACUGGCUAUAUUGGCUGAGGCUGAUGGGAGUUAGAAUCCAACAGCACCCGGAGGGACACGGAGUCCCCAUUCCUGGGAUAACCCAACAACAAUUUUGAUCUGCUUUUCCAGAAUUUAGCUGUUGUGUGAGUGUGCUGUAUGGAGUAAACUUGCCAGUUUGAGUACGCAUUAAAAUCAGUGUGAUGCAGUGAGAGAGUAUUGGAUUUAGAUCAUAGAAGUCCAGGGCCACAUGCCUGUUUAGGGAAGUUUUUAAUGUUUGAUGUUUCAUUGUGCUCUUAAUAUUCUGGUGGGCGCCGCUCAGAGUGGCUGGGGGAACCCAGCCAGGUGGGGGUGGGGUAUAAAUAAAGAAAUAUUGUUAUUCUUAUUGUUAUUAAAUUUAAGCCAUGAAAUCCA